rnacentral:rRNA from 1 species
UACGUAGGCGGUCUCUUAAGUCAGAUGUGAAAGCCCGGGGCUUAACCUCGGAAGUGCAUUUGAAACUAAGGGACUUGAGUAUGGGAGAGGGAAGUGGAAUUCCUGGCGUAGCGGUGAAAUGCGUAGAUAUCAGGAGGAACACCGGUGGCGAAGGCGACUUCCUGGACCAAUACUGACGCUGAGGCGCGAAGGCGUGGGGAGCAAACAGGAUUAGAUACCCUGGUAGUCC